rnacentral:rRNA from 1 species
GUGGGGAAUUUUGCGCAAUGGGCGAAAGCCUGACGCAGCAACGCCGCGUGUGUGAUGAAGGUCUUUGGAUUGUAAAGCACUUUCGACCGGGAAGAAAACCCGUUGGCUAACAUCCAACGGCUUGACGGUACCGGGAGAAGAAGCACCGGCUAACUCUGUGCCAGCAGCCGCGGUAAUACAGAGGGUGCAAGCGUUGUUCGGAAUUAUUGGGCGUAAAGCGCGUGUAGGCGGCGUGACAAGUCGGGUGUGAAAGCCCUCAGCUCAACUGAGGAAGUGCGCCCGAAACUGUUGUGCUUGAGUGCCGGAGAGGGUGGCGGAAUUCCCCAAGUAGAGGUGAAAUUCGUAGAUAUGGGGAGGAACACCGGUGGCGAAGGCGGCCACCUGGACGGUAACUGACGCUGAGACGCGAAAGCGUGGGGAGCAAACAGGAUUAGAUACCCUAGUAGUCC